rnacentral:lncRNA from 1 species
AAACGGAAAAUUCAAAUUGCUUUAGUACGUAUAUAUAGAUUAUUUUUAGAUUUAUUUUGAUAAAAUGAAUUUUGUUUAUGGUUACUGAAUAUUAUUUGACAAAAUUUUAAAGGCGGCUUUGAAGGCUGAAUGGAGAGGAUUGCAACUCGCGAUGUUGAAGGCGUUUGACAGUCGAAAGCAAUUUGUGGCUGCGUGAGCUAAGGUUGUGGAGGAAUAUUACAAGUCUGAAGAAAAGUAGAUGUUUUUAUGUUCAGAAAUGUUUUAAGUUUUGUGAUUAUUAGACAAUUGUUUAAUCAUGGGGGUUAUGUUUGGGAUAAUAUUGCAUGGACAGUGACUUUUUGUUGGUCUGUUAAGCA